GUCUUCGAUAGAUAUGGUUGAAUGUGAUUAUAGAAACGGCGUCAAUGGAAUAUUCAGCCAUCAACCACUUACGACAUUGGCGAGUGCAGCUUUGUCAUUCUUGUCUAUGGGCA
rnacentral:lncRNA from 1 species